CGGCACGGGUGAGUAACACGUAUCCAACCUGCCGUCUACUCUUGGACAGCCUUCUGAAAGGAAGAUUAAUACAAGAUGGCAUCAUGAGUCCACAUGUUCACAUGAUUAAAGGUAUUCCGGUAGACGAUGGGGAUGCGUUCCAUUAGAUAGUAGGCGGGGUAACGGCCCACCUAGUCUUCGAUGGAUAGGGGUUCUGGGAGGAAGGUCCCCCACAUUGGAACUGAGACACGGUCCAA
rnacentral:rRNA from 1 species